UACGAAGGGGGCUAGCGUUGCUCGGAAUCACUGGGCGUAAAGGGUGCGUAGGCGGGUCUUUAAGUCAAGGGUGAAAUCCUGGAGCUCAACUCCAGAACUGCCUUUGAUACUGAGGAUCUUGAGUAUGGGAGAGGUGAGUGGAACUGCGAGUGUAGAGGUGAAAUUCGUAGAUAUUCGCAAGAACACCAGUGGCGAAGGCGGCUCACUGGCCCAUUACUGACGCUGAGGCACGAAAGCGUGGGGAGCAAACAGG
rnacentral:rRNA from 1 species